ACGGUACAGUCUGAGCGGGAUUCCUGUGUAUUCAUACCGGGAUCCCUGUUUGUUGACGAUCCAAAAUGGCGGACGAAGUGGUCGGAAGGCUGUAGCUAUUGUAGCAAAGAUUUAAUACUAGAAUAAUGGAAGCACCUUUCCAGGUGAAGCAUUUGGACCAUGUUCAGUAUUGCUAAGCAGUUGUAGUCUAUAAAGAAACAAAGAACGUUCUGGACUGAAGAUGUAUAUACUCUCUUAACUCCCUCAUUACACCAGAUGCGUAUGUCGUUAAGAAACGGCCGUUCUCCUUAAAACAUGUCCUGUUAUGACUAAGUGAAAGGCCACAAACAAAACAAUUAAAGUAAGAGCCGCAGUGGAAAUAAAGCGCGAAGCUUGAAGGUGUCCCAUACAUUUUCAAAGCAAUUUAUGACACUGGUAUUGUGUGAAAACAAACGACUUUUUAGCUUUGAGGUCAAACGUGUGGAAAAGAAACUUUGUACCUGCUAUUAAUAUUGUAAUAACCAGCAUUAUUAAAAACAGAAGUGUGAUCUGGAUUACGACAAUUAAUAACGACUCAAACAUUGGAAAUAACAUUGCCAAAAAUAGUUAUAUCAAUACCAUAUCAGCAUGUACUGAUUUCAUUGGUAAUUUCUGGAAACGGCAUUAAAAAAUGUUUUAACCUUA